rnacentral:rRNA from 1 species
AGAAUCAACGCUGGCGGCGUGCCUAACACAUGCAAGUCGCACGAGAAAGGGUAGCAAUACCUGAGUAAAGUGGCGCACGGGUGAGUAACACGUGAAUUAUCUACCUCCGAGUGGGGAAUAACUGAGAGAAAUCUUAGCUAAUACCGCAUAACACUUACGAGUCAAAGCAGCAAUGCGCUUGGAGAGGAGUUCGCGGCCGAUUAGUUAGUUGGCGGGUAAUGGCCGACCAAGACGAUGAUCGGUA